CCUUCAUCCGCAAGAUCAACUCGAUCGUGGGAACAAAAAUGAACAAAGUUUAAAGAAAUGUGGUGCAUAGGAUGUUUGGUAAAGAAUCGAUCGAUACGAGAAAGAAAAA
rnacentral:lncRNA from 1 species